UUUGCCCUUGGUGCUUACGUGAAUUACAGUCGCCCAUCAAUGCGUUGGUCUUCUAUAUUUUCAGAAUCAUGUUUUUGAGUAGAAGAGACUGGAAACGCCAAGAAUAUCUAUCAGAUUCUAGAUCUAUCUAAUCACUGUUCUGGCAAUUUACCUUUGUACUAUUCAUAGUCUGAGUAUAUAAGCCAUAAGAUUGACUCACGAGUGGCUUCGGGAACUCUCCAUUUACGUCGACUCCAGCUCCUCCACUGUUGCGAUCUCCGAUCAACGUCAACCUCCAUAGAAACUGAGUGUUCAGAAUUGUCGUGCAUCAAUUCAUCAACCACAGUUUGAAAUUGGAUUGAAGCUUGCAGAACCUUACACUUUCAUCAAUUAUUGUUGACCUUCAACCAGCUAACUAAAACGUUCAAUUUUAUUUCAUUUGGUUCGCACUUAAAUUUACAUUUACAUACUAUUGAAUAAUACCUGAGUGAGUUUCAUGAUGUUUGUUUUAAUCACUUAUAAUGAUCUUUGUUUAGAAGUUAUUCACUGCAUACCAUAUUGGUUUCUUUUUUAUUUGAAAAUGUUUGCAGUAUCUACACUAGGCACUUUUUCGCUGCAUAUACUCUUUACUUUAGUGUUAAUGUGUUUGAAUAUAGCUUUUUAGAGCAGUUUUGCACUGCAUAUUGAUAACUAGAUGAAUGGUCCUACAUCCAUUUAGUUUCUCUUUCAAUUGGUAAACUUCCGGUUCUUAAUUGAUGAAUGGUAGUGAUAUGAAACGUGAUUUGAUUUGUAUCAGUGGUAGUGCUUAAUUUGAAUCCUUUCUUUAGAAGAGUUUACACCAUAUCCAUCUAUGUCAGCUAAUAGCUUUAAGCUAGAAUGUUAUGCCUUAUUGUAAUAAAAUGCAAUCAAUGUUUUUUGGUGUACUGGAAAGAAGCAUAUGAGGGAUUUCUGGUUGUUGCAACUGGCCUAAUAGUUGGGUUCAUAAUGGCUGAUAGUAUAGCAGAAAAGUAAACAUAAAUUUGGAAUAUACUAGAUAGUAAAGUUUGUUUAUUUAUUCAGGUUGGCUACCUAUGAUCUAUCUGAGCUGCAAAUUGAGGGUGAUGGAAAUCGCCAGUUUCGAGCAAUAGCUGAUCAGUUGUUUCGCAAUCCAGAUUACCAUGAGCAUGUUAGAAAGCAGGUUAUAAAGCAUGAGCUAUGGCUGGUUGCUUCUUAUGAAUUAGCAGGCCUAAGGCGUUCUUAGUGGAGAAAUAAGUGAAUGGUGCACUUCAACAAAUCAGCUUGGACAUCUUUCGACCUUCUACAGAGAUUGGAAGGAGUUCUACAUGUUUCAAGAAGACAUCAACAGUUCAACACCAUGAAUGAUCUGUGAUAGUUCUGUAUCAAUGUUCACGCCUUAGGAGAUUAUAGUUACAGUUGCCACUGAUUUUGGAGUGAAACCUACUCUUGCUCUUUGGGUUCAUAGAAUCCAGAAAGAGAGCGUGGGCUAUGUAGCGUCAUUUAGCGUUUAACUACCAAAAGAUAACAAUUGUUUAUAUAUUCUAAUCAACUGUGAACACAUAUCGAUUAUAAAAAUACCCGCAGCAAAGCGCGGGUUAUCUAUC